rnacentral:rRNA from 1 species
UAUGAAUGUGUGCCAGCAGCCGCGGUAAUACGGAAGGUCCGGGCGUUAUCCGGAUUUAUUGGGUUUAAAGGGAGCGUAGGCCGGAGAUUAAGCGUGUUGUGAAAUGUAGACGCUCAACGUCUGCACUGCAGCGCGAACUGGUUUCCUUGAGUACGCACAAAGUGGGCGGAAUUCGUGGUGUAGCGGUGAAAUGCUUAGAUAUCACGAAGAACUCCGAUUGCGAAGGCAGCUCACUGGAGCGCAACUGACGCUGAAGCUCGAAAGUGCGGGUAUCGAACAGG